CUACGGGUGGCACCAGUGAGGAAUAUUGCACAAUGGGGGGAACCCUGAUGCAGCAACGCCGCGUGGAGGAUGACGCAUUUCGGUGUGUAAACUCCUUUUAUAUGUCAAGAAAAUGACGGUAGCAUAUGAAUAAGCACCGGCUAACUCCGUGCCAGCAGCCGCGGUAAUACGGAGGGUGCGAGCGUUACUCGGAAUCACUGGGCGUAAAGGAAGCGUAGGCGGGUUGGAAAGUCAGGUGUGAAAUCCUACAGCUUAACUGUAGAACUGCACUUGAAACUUCUAAUCUAGAGUAUGGGAGGGGGAGAUGGAAUUAGUGGUGUAGGGGUAAGAUCCGUAGAUAUCACUAGGAAUACCUAAAGCGAAGGCGAUCUCCUGGAACAUUACUGACGCUAAGGCGUGAAAGCGUGGGGAGCAAACAGGAUUAGAUACCCUUGUAGUC
rnacentral:rRNA from 1 species